UUUUCCUUUCCCCUCCCCCUCCCUCUCCCAAGCCGGAGGGGUCCUGAGGUGACAGCGCCUGCAACUGAAAUUUCAGCAGCGGGAGAAGAUGGACAAGAGAAAGCUCGGGCGACGGCCAUCUUCAUCCGACUGGAGUGCAGUGGUGCAAAAACGGCCCACUGCAGCCUCGACCUCCUGGGCUCAAGCGAUUCUCCACAUGCCUCACUGCAGCCUUGACCUCCUGGGCUCAAGCGAUUUUCCCACCUCAGCCUCCCAAGCAGCUGAGACCGCAGAAAUCAUCACAGAAGGAAAAAGGAAAAAGUCAUCUUCUGAUUUAUCGGAGAUAAGAAAGAUGUUAAAUGCAAAACCAGAGGAUGUCCAUGUUCAAUCACCACUGUCCAAAUUCAGAAGCUCAGAACGCUGGACUCUCCCUUUGCAGGUGUGGGAAAGAAGCCUAAGGAAUAAAGUCAUCUCUCUAGACCAUAAAAAUAAAAAACAUAUCCGAGGGUGUCCUAUUACUUCCAAGUCAUCACCAGAAAGGCAACUCAAAGUUAUGUUGACGAAUGUCCUAUGGACGGAUUUAGGACGAAAAUUCAGAAAGACCCUACCUAGAAACGAUGCUAAUUUAUGUGAUGCCAGCAAGGUGCAAUCAGACUCAUUGCCUUCGACAUCUGUUGACAGCCUAGAGACAUGUCAAAAAUUAGAACCUCUUCACCAAAGCCUUAAUUUAUCUGAAAGGAUACCCAGAGUUAUAUUGACGAAUGUCCUGGGAACGGAGUUAGGAAGAAAAUACAUAAGGACCCCACCUGUAACUGAGGGAAGUUUGAGUGAUACAGACAACUUGCAAUCAGAGCAACUUUCUUCAUCAUCUGAUGGCAGCCUAGAAUCUUAUCAAAAUCUAAACCCUCACAAGAGCUGUUAUUUAUCUGAAAGGGGCUCACAACGAAGUAAGACAGUAGAUGACAAUUCUGCAAAGCAGGCUGCGCACAAUAAAGAAAAACGAAGAAAGGAUGAUGGCAUUUCUCUUUUAAUAUCUGAUACUCAGCCUGAAGACCUUAACAGUGGAAGUAGAGGUUGUGAUCAUCUCGAACAGGAAAGCAGAAACAAGGAUGUUAAAUAUUCUGAUUCAAAAGUGGAACUCACUCUGAUUUCCAGGAAGACAAAGAGAAGGCUUAGAAAUAAUUUACCUGAUUCUCAAUAUUGUACUUCUUUGGAUAAGUCAACAGAACAGACAAAAAAACAAGAAGAUGACUCAACAAUAUCCACUGAGUUUGAAAAGUCAAGUGAAAACUAUCAUCAGGAUCCAGAACUGCCUGAAGAAAUUACAACUAAACCUACAAAAAGUGAUUUUACUAAACUAUCCUCACUUAACAGUCAGGAGUUGACUUUGAGUAAUGCCACCAAAAGUGCCUCUGCCGGUUCAACCACUGAAACUGUUGAGAACUCUAAUUCCAUUGAUAUUGUGGGGAUUUCUUCCCUGGUUGAGAAGGAUGAGAAUGAGUUGAAUACCACAGAAAAGCCUAUUCUAAGAGGACAUAAUGAAGGGAACCAAUCACUGAUCUCAGCUGAACCAAUUGUUGUUUCCAGUGAUGAAGAAGGACCUGUUGAACAUAAAAGUUCAGAAAUUCUUAAGUUACAAUCUAAGCAAGACCGUGAGACAACUAAUGAAAAUGAGAGUACUUCUGAAUCAGCAUUGUUAGAACUACCAUUGAUUACAUGUGAAUCUGUACAGAUGUCAUCUGAAUUAUGCCCAUAUAAUCCUGUCAUGGAAAACAUUUCCAGUAUUAUGCCUAGUAAUGAGAUGGAUCUACAACUGGAUUUUAUAUUUACUUCUGUUUAUAUUGGUAAAAUAAAAGGAGCUUCUAAAGGUUGUGUUACAAUCACAAAAAAAUAUAUUAAGAUCCCAUUUCAAGUGUCCCUGAAUGAGAUUUCAUUGCUAGUGGAUACCACACAUUUAAAGCGGUUUGGGUUAUGGAAAAGUAAGGAUGAUAAUCACAGUAAAAGGAGUCAUGCUAUUCUUUUCUUCUGGGUCUCUUCAGAUUAUCUUCAAGAGAUUCAGACCCAAUUAGAACACUCUGUAUUAAGCCAGCAAUCAAAAUCUAGUGAAUUCAUUUUCCUUGAACUACACAAUCCUGUUUCACAAAGAGAAGAAUUGAAGCUGAAAGAUAUUAUGACAGAAAUAAGUAUAAUCAGUGGAGAAUUGGAGCUUUGUUACCCGUUGUCUUGGGUUCAGGCAUUUCCUUUGUUUCAGAACCUCUCUUCAAAAGAAAGUUCUUUUAUUCAUUAUUACUGUGUUUCAACUUGUUCUUUCCCUGCUGGUGUUGCUGUUGCUGAAGAAAUGAAGCUGAAAUCAGUAUCUCAGCCCUCAAACACAGAUGUGGCCAAGCCUACUUACACCUUCCUGCAGAAGCAAAGUAGCGGUUGCUACUCCCUUUCUAUUACAUCUAAUCCAGAUGAAGAAUGGCGAGAAGUCAGGCACACUGGACUUGUUCAGAAGUUGAUUGUAUAUCCUCCACCACCUACUAAGGGGGGAUUAGGAGUAACUAAUGAAGAUCUGGAGUGUUUAGAAGAAGGAGAGUUUCUUAAUGAUGUAAUCAUUGAUUUUUACCUUAAGUAUCUUAUAUUGGAGAAGGCAUCAGAUGAACUUGUUGAACGAAGUCACAUUUUUAGUAGCUUUUUCUAUAAAUGCUUGACAAGAAAGGAAAAUAAUUUAACAGAAGAUAAUCCAAAUCUUUCAAUGGCACAGAGAAGACAUAAAAGAGUAAGAACAUGGACUCGUCACAUAAACAUUUUUAAUAAAGAUUACAUCUUUGUACCUGUAAAUGAGUCGUCUCACUGGUAUCUCGCAGUCAUUUGUUUUCCAUGGUUAGAAGAAGCUGUGUAUGAAGAUUUUCCACAAACUGUAUCCCAGCAGUCCCAGGCUCAGCAGUCCCAAAAUGACAACAAAACAAUAGGUGACAUCCAUAACGUAGAUGGUGUUUUUAAAAAUGAUGACAAUAAUUUAAUGGUUACAGGGAAGAAAAUGAAGUUAACGAUAAUGAUCUACGUACUACUUCGACACUAUCUUUGAGUGCAGAGGAUUCCCAAAGUACCGAGUCGAAUAUGUCAGUACCAAAGAAAAUGUGUAAAAGGCCAUGUAUUCUUAUACUAGACUCCUUGAAAGCUGCUUCUGUACAAAACACAGUUCAGAAUUUACGAGAGUAUUUAGAGGUAGAGUGGGAAGUUAAACUAAAAACUCAUCGUCAAUUCAGCAAAACAAACAUGGUGGAUCUAUGCCCUAAAGUUCCUAAACAGGACAAUAGCAGUGAUUGUGGAGUAUAUUUAUUGCAGUAUGUGGAAAGCUUCUUCAAGGAUCCUAUUGUUAACUUUGAACUUCCAAUUCAUUUGGAGAAGUGGUUUCCUCGUCAUGUAAUAAAGACCAAACGGGAAGAUAUUCGAGAGCUCAUCUUGAAACUUCAUUUACAGCAACAGAAGGGCAGCAGUAGCUAGUUAAUCUGUACAAACAUGACACAGAUGUUCUCUAAGAUUACUGGAAAGCCUCUUACCAGCAUUUGUGUUAGCCAGCUCACAGAGAAGAAAAUAACUUGCAGUAGUUUUAUAAUAAGUCAUUGGAACAUUAUUUAAAAUACAUAGGACACAUUAUUAGAAUUGUUGGGAUCUCAUAGAUGGAAUGGGAAUGGGGGUGAUAUAGAUAAACUUACUAGAUAUAAAUUAAAAUUUUAUAAAUAUUUCAUAUUUUUCUGAGUAAAUAUGAUUGGAUUAUGCAACAGCAUAUGUAAUAUGGGAAUGUUUUGUAGAUAAUAAAACUUACAUGAUCUGUACUUCCACGUGACUGGGUGCUGAGGGGAGUUAAAGCCUCCCUGGUGCCAGCCCCAGUGCUUGUCAAAUUUGCUGACAGGUCACGUCAUAUUGUAAUUCUAUUCUUUGCAGCUCAAGCAUGCAGUAUGAAUACUGUGUAUUUUUUAAAAAAAUAAUUUAGUAUCAAGGCUUCAGAAAAUGCCAUUUACGGCAUCCCUUCUGUAUGUAACAAAAAGACAUUCAUAAUGUUAGGAAGAUGAUAAAAAUUCGCUCUUUUAAAGUGCAGCUUAUUAUUCUCAAUUGCUAAAUACGAUUACUCUGCUUUAUUUUUUUUUCAUUUCUUUUGAUGUCAUAUGUGAGUAUCUUAUAAUUUAGUUCAUUUGUUCAGGGUAAAAUUUGAAACAAAAAAUUUUACCUGUGCAAAAUAGUUUUUUAAAAAUUAUACAUGUAGCUCAACUUGAGGUAUUGCUAUAUAAAUAUUCACUCACAUUAUCACGGAAUUUAUGUAUAGUUUCUCUAAUAUAGAAGAUAAAAUUGGUGUCCUCAUAACUUUAACAAAGAAAACCCUCAGUCCUAUUUAUUAAUGGUUAGAAUUAAAUAUAUAAUUUUAUAGCUCAGUUUACCCAGUAUUCAUCUGCAAAGCCAGAUUGCUCUCAUUGCUUUUAUAUUUUUAAAUUGUAGCUUUUAGAGACCUAUGAUCCUCAUGGAACUUAAUUUUUUUAUUAAAUAUUCAGGUAACAGUUCUGAAUUCAUGUGAUAAUGGUGGCAUUAUAUAUGAUUAAACACUUCAGAACUUUCUAAUGUUAUCAGGAGUAUUUUGCGGGAGAUAUGAUUAUAUUGUAUUUUCUCAGAUAAGAAAAAUGUUUUUUAACAAUAUUAUUUUAAUCUGUUUUAAGCAUCUCUUAGAUUUACAUUAUAACUACAUAAAGCAGUGAAGCAAAGGCAAAUUAAGAUAAAGCUAGAAAGUCUGAACAUUUUAUUUCAAAAUCAUACGAAUUGAGGUCAUUUAUGCCUCAGUAUUCUUAGCUUUUGUUGAUUUUGGCACUAUCUUUAUAUUAUUAAAUAUAUUUGUUGUUUGGAUUUUUCAUAUAAAGAUGGCUAUAAUUACAUAUUUCAUUCCCAAUUUGUGUGUGUUGGGGGGUACUUUUAAAGGUGACUAUUGUUUUGUACAUCUAAUUUUGGGAAAGCAAGUCUAUAGGACAUCUUGUGAUUUCUUAACGUUUUUGUUUGUAUGUUUUUCAAAGAUAUCACUGUCCUUUAUCAUGUUUUGAAGAUUGUUUAAAAUUCAUUUUCCUAAAUUAAUGUGCAAGUAAUGUUUUGAGGAUAUCAGUGUUUUAUAUUAAACAUAUUUCCAAUUCAUUAAA